rnacentral:lncRNA from 2 species
UGGAGACACAGCUGGGCUGAACAAGAUUUGCUUCAAACGACAACAAGAGAGACAGAAAGUAUCUGGUUCAACCGCUGCCCGAGCAGGCAGGCACCAGAAGAGCUAGCAGCCAAUCCGGCCAUGCUCGAAGCCAGCUCUGCAGCUCAGCCAAUCAGUGACAUCAUUGCUUUCUUUAGCUUGCCCAUGGUGAUGUGAAGAUGAGAAGAAAUAGCAAGGCCCAACCAGUUCUUCAUCUGGAGACAGUUCAACGUUCUGCAAACCAGAUCUUCAGGAAUUUUACUGGGAUAAUUAUCCAAAUAAAUUGCAAGCAUUCUAUCCAAAUGGAGCUCUUUCUGAGAUGAAGAGAAUUCUCAAUGUCAAGAUUUGAACAAGAAGAGAAUGGAAUACACAAUAUGGACAUCCAUAAAAAUUCAUCAGAGAGCAUUUUACUACUGAGCUGCAAAGGGAAAAACUUAAAAUGGAUAUGAAAAGUGAAGAAAGUGAUCAUAGGAGAAAACCAUUUCAGAUGACAAGAGCACCUCAAAGGCAGCAGCCUCAAGGAGCAGCCAUGGCCCCAGACUUGUCGCACGGAUGCAGAAAACUUAAUGGAGGAGGCUGAGGUCAGAAUGGGAAGAGUUUUUAAAAAAUAAAAAGGGGAGCUAAUAUGUG